UACAGAGGGGGCAAGCGUUGUUCGGAAUUACUGGGCGUAAAGGGCGCGUAGGCGGCCUUCUAAGUCGAACGUGAAAUCCCUGGGCUCAACCCAGGAACUGCGUCCGAUACUGGAAGGCUUGAAUCCGGGAGAGGGAUGCGGAAUUCCAGGUGUAGCGGUGAAAUGCGCAGAUAUCAGGAGGAACACCAACGGCGAAGGCAGCACUCUGGGCCGGAACUGACGCUGAGGAGCGAAAGCGUGGGUAGCGAACAGG
rnacentral:rRNA from 1 species